GAUGAACGCUGGCGGCGUGCCUAAUACAUGCCAGUCGAGCGAACAGACGAGGAGCUUGCUCCCCUGACGUUAGCGGCGGACGGGUGAGUAACACGUGGAUAACCUACCUAUAAGACUGGGAUAACUUCGGGAAACCGGAGCUAAUACCGGAUAAUAUAUUGAACCGCAUGGUUCAAUAGUGAAAGACGGUUUUGCUGUCACUUAUAGAUGGAUCCGCGCCGCAUUAGCUAGUUGGUAAGGUAACGGCUUACCAAGGCGACGAUGCGUAGCCGACCUGAGAGGGUGAUCGGCCACACUGGAACUGAGACACGGUCCAGACUCCUACGGGAGGCAGCAGUAGGGAAUCUUCCGCAAUGGGCGAAAGCCUGACGGAGCAACGCCGCGUGAGUGAUGAAGGUCUUCGGAUCGUAAAACUCUGUUAUUAGGGAAGAACAAAUGUGUAAGUAACUAUGCACGUCUUGACGGUACCUAAUCAGAAAGCCACGGCUAACUACGUG
rnacentral:rRNA from 1 species